rnacentral:misc_RNA from 1 species
CAGAGCUGCAAACUCCCAACCCUUUGUGAACUACCUUGCACAGUUUUGCCUCGGCGGGGGGAGCACCCUCAAGGAGGCCGGACCCUCUCGGCGGGCCCGGGCAAAGCUCCUGUAGAGGACGAAACACUAAUUACUGGACCUAUGAGUAACUUAUACAAUAAGUUA